rnacentral:rRNA from 1 species
UACGUAGGUGGCAAGCGUUGUUCGGAAUUACUGGGCGUAAAGGGCUCGUAGGCGGCCAACUAAGUCAGACGUGAAAUCCCUCGGCUUAACCGGGGAACUGCAUCUGAUACUGGAUGGCUUGAGUUCGGGAGAGGGAUGCGGAAUUCCAGGUGUAGCGGUGAAAUGCGUAGAUAUCUGGAGGAACACCGGUGGCGAAGGCGGCAUCCUGGACCGACACUGACGCUGAGGAGCGAAAGCCAGGGGAGCAAACAGG